AACUGCAUGGGGAUGAUCAUAAUACGACUGACAAUAAGAAUGUGGCACUUUUGUAAAUCAGCGAAAGAACUGGUCUGACUAGGCGUUUCUGAAGGCCAGCCAGCGGCUAGAGUGACUGACAAGAUCUUUAUCUUCCCCGGCUGAUCUGAUAAACCGUGCCAUCUCAAGCAUGACAUAUCAUGCCCACCCUUUGAAAAUCCUCGUACCUUCGGCCCUGUUCUGCGGCUUUCUUCUUCUCUACGGCCAAUUUCGGCGGAUGUUUUUAUCUCGCAAGAGAGCAGGGAAAGUUUCGGGCCUGGCCUGUCAUCCUUUACGGGGCGGGACAUCGCUGGUUGGCGACAUGGCCGAAUGUGGGGCCCAGGGACUGGUCAUGAGUGGGGUGCGGGACGGAGAAUUCAUCGUGGCUCGCCCGAUGACCA